rnacentral:rRNA from 1 species
GAUGAACGCUGGCGGCGUGCCUAAUACAUGCAAGUCGAGCGAAGCGGGGACGGGUGAGUAACACGUGGAUAACCUUCUAUAAGACUGGGUUACCUUAGGGGAACCUGAGCUAAACCGGAUACUUAUCGGUAGUUCCGCGCCGAAUGAGCUAGUUGGUACGGUAACGGCUUACAAGGGCAACGAUGCGUAGCCGACCAGAGAGAGUGAUCGGCCAACCGGGAACUGAGAACCGGUCCAGCUCCCUAGGGGGGGCAGCAGUAGGGAAGUUUCCGCAAGGGGCGAAAGCCUGACGGAGCAACGCCGCGUGAGGGAUGAAGGUCUUCGGAUCGUAAAACGCUGUUAUUAGGGAAGCGGUACCUAAUCAGAAACCCACGGCUAACUACUUGCCAGCAGCCGCGUAAUUC